rnacentral:tRNA from 1 species
GGUCUCAUGGUGUAAUGGUUAGCACUCUGGACUAUGAAUCCAGCGACCUGAGUUCAAAUCUCGGUGAGACCU